UACGUAGGGUGCGAGCGUUAAUCGGAAUUACUGGGCGUAAAGCGUGCGCAGGCGGUUCUGUAAGCCAGAUGUGAAAGCCCCGGGCCUAACCUGGGAAUGGCAUUUGGGACUGCAAGGCUGGAGUGUGGCAGAGGAGACUGGAAUUCCUGGUGUAGCAGUGAAAUGCGUAGAUAUCAGGAGGAAUACCGAUGGCGAAGGCAGGUCUCUGGGCUGACACUGACGCUCAUGCACGAAAGCGUGGGGAGCAAACAGG
rnacentral:rRNA from 1 species